UUUUGAGGCUGGGGUGGAGAUAAAAUUCUAACUUGUUAAUCACUGGUCCAUAUGUGAGUCCCUUUCUCAACCAUUUGACAAGAGUGCACCAUAGACAGUUUGCCAGAACUAAAAAGCUUUCCAACUGAUGUCCUGAUUAGACUUGUGUAUGAUGUCCCCCCGAUGGCCCUGCUUUCCUCUAUGUAUGGGACCCUUUUCCUUAGUCAUCAACUUGUAUUCUGUGUCCUUAGUUGUCUGGUCUCAGUGGGACUGUGUGAAUCUUGAUAACUCACUAUACCAUUGGGUACCAUUGGGCAGAGUAACUUUUUGGUCCUUUAGAUUUUGCCUGACUUUAGUAUUCUAUUUAUCUUACAGCAAGCAGCUCUGUGCUACAAUGGAACGUGCCUUGUUCUUCUAGAAAACAAGAUAAUAUGAGUCACUCUAAACUCUUCACUCUAUGGUCGAGUCUGUUUUGUGACGUGGGAGGCCUAGAAAAAGCAAGCUGGCUCUGUGCUAUGAUGGAAUGUACCUUGGUCUUCUACAAAACAAGCAAGCAGCUCUGUGCUACAAUGGAACGUGCCCUGGUCUUCUAGAAAACAAGGUAAGAGAUCCCAUUCUUUGAGUCACUAAAUUUUUACUCUAUGGUCGAGUCUAUUUGUGCCGUGGGAGGCCUAGGAAAGGUCAGAAUGAUAGUGGUGCAAAACGUCCCUUAAAACCAUCACUGACCUGGGGAAGAAAACUUAGAGAUUCAAUUCACUAGGGGUGCCUAAUAUUUUUCCACACCCCUAUGAAUAAGAGAUUUUAGAAGUUUAGGUAAGCUCUGUUGGUGGGGAGGCUGUUAAAAUUGGGGGGUUGUGUGUCCAAACUGGGUGCCACUAGCAGUUUGGAGCUUGAAUUCUGACAAAACAUUUGUAGGUAUAAGUGUGAUGUACUGUACUGUCUCUCAGCAUGUGUGAGUGUAAAGCUUUUAGGUUCCCUGGCUCUGUGGUACAAUGGGUUGAGCAUUGGACAAAUAGUCAAUCAAGUUUUUCAAAGGUUGAGCAUUCAAGUCCCACCAGUCAACUAAUAGAGGUAAUACCCAGCUUGUUAAUCAUAGGAGAUCAAUAUGUGAGGCCCCUUCCUAAGUGCAACAUGGACAAAACUAAAAAGCAGUUCAACUGAUGUCCUGAUUACACUUGUGUAUGUCGGCUUAAAGAAAUGGGUCUGCUUUGUGCCCCAUCUCUAUUUAUGCGGAGGUCCAAAAAUGUCUGCUUUCAUGUUUUUGCUGAAAGUGUGAUGUAAUGUACUGUCUGACAGUGUGUGUGGGUUGUGACUAUGCUGGUGCCUUUGUGGUACAGUGACUGUUUUAUUGGACUUCUAGUUGAUCAAACUAAGGUUUUUAAUGGCUCCACUGCUCUCAACAUGUGUAUUUUUUGCAGGCUGUGA